ensembl:lncRNA
AGGACAUGUGUGCAAGACUACAGCAGACAGGAGUGAGGUUACUACACCAUCUUCAAAUACUUCAACUUCUUUAUUGGCUACGACCAAAACGAGGCAGGACAUCAAGAGACUUUUCACAGGUCCUGGAUGAAGAAUUUCAAAACCUCGGCAGCUGGACAUAUUAACUAUGCUAUGGACUUGUAGAUGGGAGAGUUUCAGUUCCAGGAGAGGCCAUCCUGCCGGCCAGGUUUCUACUGCCCUUUGUGGGACUUCAUUCCAGUCCCUUGUCCCAGAGGAACCUAUGGGCCAACUUCUGGUGCAACGUCCAUCGACA